AUGUUACCUCUGUCUUGAUCUUAUAGAGUUUGUCACUCAUUUUAAGUUCUAUGCUUCAGUAAAACACUAGUGUAGAGUGAUGCAUGCUUUUUUCAUAAGUAAUUAAGUUUUAUUUCAUGUUUCAACCAUAGAAUAGAAUAGGGAGGAAAACGAGAAAAGAAGGUAAUCAAAUUUUAUUUCAUGUUUCAACCAUAGUGUAGGGAGAGUGUGAGGGGAACCAAAAAAUAGUUGUUAGUUGAAGCACAUAACCCACAAGAUGUUUCAAUUUAUAAGCACAUCACCCACGAAAUAGUUUUAUGCUUUUAUCCAUUCAGUUUGAAAAUAUAAGUUCAUGCUCAUAAUUACAUGGCUAAAGGCAGCAUUAUAGCAGUUGACAACAAAUGAUCUAUAUCCUCUACAGCA